rnacentral:tRNA from 1 species
GACGCGGUGGCCUAAUGGUUAGUGCAUUGGACUCCGGAUUGAGCAGUCCAGGUUUGAGCGCUGGCUGGGGUCA